GGCGUAGCCAAGCGGUAAGGCAUCGGAUUUUGAUUCCGUUUACCGGUGGUUCGAAUCCAUCCGCC
rnacentral:tRNA from 1 species